UAUCUCUGUAGAGUCUGCAUAUCAAUAAGCGGAGGAAAAGAAACUAACUAGGAUUCCCUCAGUAACGGCGAGUGAAGCGGGAAGAGCUCAAAUUUGAAAUCUUCAAGGUUCUACCUUGACGAAUUGUAGUUUAAAGAAGUGUUUUCUGUUGGAGUUUUGGUAAAAGUUCUUUGGAAUAGGACAUCAUAGAGGGUGAGAAUCCCGUAUUUGACCAUUACUUUCCAGCGUUGUGAUACACUUUCAAAGAGUCGGAUUGUUUGGGAAUGCAGUCCAAAAUGGGUGGUAAAUUUCAUCUAAAGCUAAAUAUUGGCGAGAGACCGAUAGCGAACAAGUACCGUGAGGGAAAGAUGAAAGGAACUUUGAAAAGAGAGUUAAACAGUACGUGAAAUUGUCAAAAGGGAAGCGUUUGACACCAGUGUUGUUUUCUCGAAAAUCAAUUAAAAAAGGCAGGAUUUUGUGUUGUAUUGACUUUAUCAGCUUUCUGCACUCUUUUCUUGUCUUUUUUAAUGCACUUUUCGUUUAACAAGUCAACAUCAAUUUCUUUUGUUGUAAAAGGGUCAUUGGAAGGUGGCUUUCUUUUCGGAGAAAGUGUUUAUAGCCUUUGGCCUCUGCAAUCGGAGAGAUUGAGGUCUGCAGUGUAGAUCCUUCGGGGUUAGAUACAUUUGUGCUAAGUUAUAGCCUUUCAUAGACAACUUGUUGACUAUGAUCAGUCAUGUAGCUUACUCGCUUAUGCUAUUUUACCUACGCUUAGGAUGUUGACGAUCAGCUGAGCGCG
rnacentral:rRNA from 1 species